rnacentral:rRNA from 1 species
CACGUAGGGCGCAAGCGUUGUCCGGAAUUAUUGGGCGUAAAGAGCUCGUAGGCGGUUCGAUAAGUCGGGUGUGAAAACUCUGGGCUCAACCCAGAGACGCCACCCGAUACUGUCGUGACUAGAGUCCGGUAGAGGAGUGUGGAAUUCCCGGUGUAGCGGUGAAAUGCGCAGAUAUCGGGAGGAACACCAGUGGCGAAGGCGGCACUCUGGGCCGGAACUGACGCUGAGGAGCGAAAGCGUGGGUAGCAAACAGG